rnacentral:tRNA from 1 species
GGAUGUAGCUCAGUUGGUAGAGUGUUUGCCUGGUGUGGACAAGGCCCUGGGUUCAAUCCCCAGCACCA